GGGUUCGUAGCUCUAACUGGCAGAGCGCCUGUCUUGCACACAGGAGGCUGUGGGUUCAACUCUCACCGAAUCCA
rnacentral:tRNA from 1 species